rnacentral:rRNA from 1 species
UACGGGGGGGGCAAGCGUUGUUCGGAAUUACUGGGCGUAAAGCGCACGUAGGCGGCUUAGCAAGUCGGAUGUGAAAUCCCUCGGCUCAACCGAGGAAGUGCAUCCGAAACUGCUGAGCUUGAGUACUUAAGAGGAUCGCGGAAUUCCCGGUGUAGAGGUGAAAUUCGUAGAUAUCGGGAGGAACACCAGUGGCGAAGGCGGCGAUCUGGGAAGAUACCGACGCUGAGGAGCGAAAGCCAGGGGAGCAAACGGG